rnacentral:rRNA from 1 species
UACGUAGGGUGCAAGCGUUAAUCGGAUUUACUGGGCGUAAAGCGUGCGCAGGCGGUUGUGCAAGACCGAUGUGAAAUCCCCGGGCUUAACCUGGGAAUGGCAUUGGUGACUGCACGGCUAGAGUGUGUCAGAGGGGGGUAGAAUUCCACGUGUAGCAGUGAAAUGCGUAGAGAUGUGGAGGAAUACCGAUGGCGAAGGCAGCCCCCUGGGAUAACACUGACG